rnacentral:rRNA from 1 species
CGAUAGUGAACCAGUACCGUGAGGGAAAGGUGAAAAGCACCCCGGAAGGGGAGUGAAAGAGAUCCUGAAACCGUGUGCCUACAAAUAGUCAGAGCCCGUUAAUGGGUGAUGGCGUGCCUUUUGUAGAAUGAACCGGCGAGUUACGAUCCCGUGCGAGGUUAAGCUGAAGAGGCGGAGCCGCAGCGAAAGCGAGUCUGAAUAGGGCGUUUAGUACGUGGUCGUAGACCCGAAACCAGGUGAUCUACCCAUGUCCAGGGUGAAGUUCAGGUAACACUGAAUGGAGGCCCGAACCCACGCACGUUGAAAAGUGCGGGGAUGAGGUGUGGGUAGCGGAGAAAUUCCAAUCGAACCUGGAGAUAGCUGGUUCUCCCCGAAA